rnacentral:misc_RNA from 1 species
GUUCCGUCAGGAUCGGCUGGCCGUACUCCAGGGUAUCUUAUGACCGUUCGACGGGUGUGCUGCACGGAGGUAGAAUAUCCCCGUCUUGAAGUGCGUGUGCACCGUGUGUACGAAGAGAAGAAAUGACUGGGAGUUGAGCCCGAGUCGCGGCAAGUGGUUGUGUAGUGCGUGAAGUGCGUGUAGUGGUUUAACACGACCUGACGUUAGAUGAGCGGGGAGUGAGCUCGGUGUAUGAGAGAAGAGAGGGUCUCUCAGCGUGCACUUUUCGUUCGGAAAUCUCGAAUCGCGGAUUUUUCCCGCUUGUGGAAAAUUAUCAACGGCGCGAAUUCUCGUCCUCAGGAAUAAUGUGAGCUGACCCGACACAAGCCAGGACUUGGACGGCCUUGAGGGGGCGAUAUCGAAUCGGCACGCGAUAAUUACAAUGCGGAUCAUUGCUCAGAGUGAAAAUGGAGACUAGAGGAAUAAGAUGUUCAAAUAUAUGAUGCAGAGUAUCGGGACCGCGACGUGACAUGGCAAGAGCAAUAUGGAUACUUCUGUGCCUUCUUGGUCUAUGGCCACUCGCGGAAGGCUACUUGGCGGUAUUGUCGUCGAGUUUAGAACCUGGAACCGUAGUAUUCGAGGCCGGAGUGCCUCAGCUCGGAGGUAAGCGUAAGUACGAAGCAUCGGUGGACAGGACAGCAUGGUUCGCGAGGAAGCUGCUGAAGGUGCAUCCGCACACGGGUCGAGUAACGCUGGCGAAGACUCUGAGCUGUGAGGGCCUCCAAUACCCGCGACUCUUCACCUUUUACAUAGACUCAACGAGUUCAAGACUGGGCCGACCGACCAUAGAUUAUUAUAGUUUACCCUUAAGAGUAUUAAUCACGGGAUGCGGCGGGGAGAAUCAAGACUUAGCUGCGACCAAAGGUUGGAUGCCGGAGACUCUUGCUUCCUACGCGAUGCCGAGCAACGACAGAUUCACCGAGGUCUGUCUCAGGGCCUCGCAGCUUGUUGCAGCCCUCAGCGACUUCCUGCCCUUGACCGCCAUCAAGGAGUGCGAGACCAAGUGGGGCGGCGUUGGGGACCCAAGGUUUCUGGUCGAGGGUGCGGCCGGCGACCUGGUAUCGGCCGCUGAGCAAUGCCUGGUCGAUCCUCUCUGGAAGAUAUCGGUCUCCAUGAGGCUCAAGUGCGGUUCGCCUCAUCUGGCCGACGCGGAGCACAGACUGAAGGUGGUGUUCCACCACCAGCAGCUCGACGACUCGGACCUCGGCCGCAGGGUGCGAAGGGAGUUGCGGAACCAGUCGCCCUAUUUCGAGCAGCCCCUGUACCUAGCCAACGUCGACGAGGAGAAGGACCCGGGGCUGAACGUCGCCGUAGUCAGAGCCCGUGACCCCGAGGGCGGGGCGGUUCGGUACUCGAUGAAUUCGCUCAUAGACUCGAGGACGCAGGCGCUCUUCUUGCUCGACGCAGCGACGGGCCGAGUGACGACGAGGGCAAGGUUGGACAGGGAGAGCGGCAACGUGCACUACCUCAAGAUAUUUGCCGUCGAUGAUUCCUUUCCACCUAGAACUGGGACCACGACUUUGCAGGUCAAUGUCCUCGACACCAACGAUCACGCCCCGGUUUUCGAGCUGAACGAGUACGAGGCCUCCGUCAGGGAGGGAGUCCCCGUCGGCACCACCGUCGUCGUUGUCAAAGCGACGGACCAGGACGACGGGAGGAACGCCGAGGUCGAGUACUCGAUCGUAUCCACUAGCGGGGGUGGCACCACCAGCCUUUCCGAAGACUCGUCGACCUUCAGGAUCGACCCAAGAUCCGGCGUCGUUACCACCAGGAGUGGACUGGACCGCGAACGAACCGAGGUCUACACCGUCAUCAUACAGGCCACCGACCUCGCCAUGCCACUGACGGACCGUAAAACCGCCUCCGCGAGCCUCGUGGUUCACGUUCAAGACGACAACGACAAUUACCCGCAAUUCUCCGAGCGAACUUACACGGCGCUUAUCCCCGAGGAUCUUGACUAUACUACGAGUCCUGUGGUAGCGCAUAUUCGCGCCACGGACUCGGACGCGGGAGUCAACGCUGCGGUGAGGUACUCCAUCAUGGGCGGGAACACGCAGAACACGUUUUCGAUCGACUCGUUGAGCGGCGACGUGAUCCUGAUCAAGCCACUGGACUACGAGACUAUGAAAAAUUACCGCGUUGUUAUCCGUGCCCAGGACGGCGGGACUCCGACCAGGGGAAACACGACGCAGUUCAUCGUCUCUGUCAAGGACGUCAACGACAACGCGCCCAGAUUCUACACGAGCCUGUUUCAGGAGUCCGUGUCCGAGUCGGUGCCGAUCGGUUAUUCCGUGGUCAAGGUCCAAGCCUACGACGCGGACGAGGGACUCAACGCUCAGAUAAAGUACUCCAUCGGGCCCCGCGACUUCUCCGGCACGUCGACGGAGAACUUUCCGAUAGCUGUGAACCCGGAGACCGGGUGGAUAUAUACUACGAUGCAGCUGGACCGGGAACAGUGCUCCAAGUAUCAGUUCAUCGUUAUAGCAACCGAUUCCGGCGAGCCGGCUAGAUCCGCGAGCGCCUCCGUCGUCCUCACGAUAAUUGACAUAAACGACAACGACCCUGUUUUUGAACCAAAGAACUACGAGUCCGUUAUCGCUGAGGACGACUCGCCGGGAACACCGGUAGCAUCGGUAACCGCUACCGAUCCUGACGAAGAUUCGAGGAUCCACUACGAGAUCACGGCCGGCAAUACGAGGGGUCGCUUUUCUAUAACUUCGCAUAACGGUCGGGGCCUUAUCACCAUAGCUCAACCGCUUGACUACAAGCAGGAAAAAAGGUUCGUUUUGACGGUAACUGCCUCCGAUUCGGGCGGUCGGACCGACACGGCUCUCGUAUACGUCAACAUAUCCGAUGCUAACAACUUCGCACCGGUUUUCGAGAACGCCCCAUACGGCGCUUCCGUCUUCGAGGACGCCUCCAUUGGCACGACGGUUCUAGUUGUCAGCGCAACCGACUCCGACGUCGGACAAAACGCUCAGAUAACUUACAGCCUGGGCAGCGAAGCCGGGGAACCAGAGGCGUCCAAGUUCACGAUCAAUCCUCAGACCGGUGCAAUCACCACGACCCAAGCCCUGGAUCGAGAAACGCUCUCCGGAUACCUUUUGACCGUCAUCGCAAGAGACGGCGGCGUUCCGCCGCUCUCAGACACGACUGGCGUCGACAUAUCGGUCAUGGACGUCAACGACAACGCGCCGGUUUUUGACGCCCCGCAGUACCAGGGCUCGGUUCCGGAGGACGUUUUGGUCGGUACCAGCGUUCUCCGGAUAGCUGCUACCGACGCGGACAUCGGUCGAAACGGAAAGGUUAGCUAUGCUUUUCAGGACGAUGGUGACGGCUCCUUCGCCAUUGACCCCUCCUCCGGUGUCGUCCGAACUGCCAAACCGUUGGACCGGGAAUCCGUCGCGCGUUACUCUUUGGAAGCCAUAGCCGUCGACACAGGAUCGCCGUGCCUCUCUUCCGUCGUACCGAUCGUGGUGAAAAUCGAAGACGUCAACGACUCUCCGCCGGUGUUCGAGAGCGACAAGAUCACGCUUUACAUUCAGGAAAACUCGCCGAUCGGUUCUACCGUGGGUGAAAUAUACGCCCACGAUCCUGACGAGGGACCCAACGCUGUUGUUCAGUAUUCGAUUAUCGGCGGUGAGGAUGCAAACAGCUUUACUCUAAAUAUUCGACCGGGUGCCGAUCGAACCGAGCUGAUCACGCUCGAGGAACUAGACUAUGAAUCUCACAAGAAGAAGUUUGAGCUUGUCGUUCGCGCCGCCUCUCCACCACUGAGAUCUGACGCCCUGGUGCAGGUGAUGGUGACCGACAUCAACGACAACGCCCCGGUCCUCAAGGAUUUUCAAAUACUAUUCAACAAUUUCAAGGACUUCUUUCCAUCCGGUCCUAUCGGCAAAAUUCCCGCCUUCGACGCUGAUGUUACUGACAAACUAACGCACAGCAUAUUGUCCGGGAACAAUGCCAAUUUGAUUACGCUGAAUAAAAGCUCCGGCGAGAUAUCGCUGUCUCCUCAGUUGAACACCAAUGUGCCUAGAGUUGCAACUAUGGAAGUCUCGGUCACGGAUGGAGUUAACGAGGCCAAGGCAACGAUGACGCUUUCCGUGCGACUGAUAACCGACACGAUGCUGUUCAAUUCCAUAACCGUCAGACUGGACGAAAUGACCGUCGAGGCUUUCCUUAGUCCUUUGCUCGGAUACUUCGUCGAUGGUCUUGCUGCGAUCAUACCAUGUCCCCGUGAAAAUAUAUACCUCUUUAACGUCCAGGAGGACACGGACGUACGCGGCAAGAUACUGAACGUUAGUUUUUCAGCCCGUAAAGCGGAACCGGGAUCCACCGACGAGUUCUACAGUCCCCAAUUCCUUCAGGAAAGAGUUUACUUAAACCGGGGAAUUCUGGCGAGACUCGCAACCGUCACGGUCUUACCAUUCGACGAUAACCUUUGCGUGAGGGAGCCUUGCCUCAAUUUUGAGGACUGCGUCACGGUGUUGAAGUUCGGCAACGCUUCCGGAUUCGCUAGCAGCGACACAGUUCUAUUCAGACCGAUUUAUCCGGUGACGACAUUCUCCUGUAAAUGUCCAACGGGUUUUACCGGUAGUCGAGAAGCUUACUUGUGCGAUACCGAGGUCAAUUUGUGCUAUUCGAACCCCUGUGAAAACGGCGGUACUUGCCGACGGCGCGAAGGUGGUUACACCUGCAGCUGCGCGGACGGUUUCAUCGGGAGUAACUGCGAGAUCAAUUUGAACGAAGACAGCUGUCUACCCACCCUGUGCAAAGGAAGUUCCCAAUGUCUGACGAAAGCAAACGGUGGAUUCAUUUGUGAAGGCUGUCCAGUAUCCGUAUUGGAGAACGCAACACCCCUCUGCGAGCUGAAAGCACGGAGUUUCGGACCCGCUACUUUCCUGACGUUUCCAUCCCUGAAACAACGGCACAGAAUGCACCUGAAACUCCGGUUCGCUACGGAAGCGUCGCAAGGCUUGCUUCUCUAUAACGGACGCUACAACGAAAAGCACGAUUUCAUCGCUCUCGAAGUGAUUGACUCGCAAGUUCAGUUCAGCUUUUCACUAGGUGACGAGAUCAGCAGAGCGUCGGCCAGUGUGGUCGGCGGUGUGUCGGACGGCCAGUGGCACACCGUGGAAGUUUCCUAUUGGAAUAAAACCGUGACGAUAUCGCUGGACGAAUGCGACGUGGCUCUGGCUCUGAAGAACGGUUCGAACCUUGGUAAAAAAUGGUCGUGUGCAGGAAGAGGGGAGCAGAUACUCGAGUACCGAUGCACCCUGGUUACCGAGACCUGUCAUCGGUUCUUGGACCUGACGGGACCCCUGCAGGUCGGCGGUCUGCCGGCGAUACCAUCGAGUUUUCAAAUCCGUAACAAGGACUUCGUCGGAUGCAUAAGCGAUCUGUACAUUGAUCACCGAUUCAUCGACCUCAACUCGUUCGUCGCCGACAACGGUACCACUGCUGGCUGUCCCGAGAAGAGAGCGUUCUGCGCUUCGAUGCCCUGCAAACACAAUGGCAAGUGCAGAGAGGUAUGGUCCGGCUACAUUUGCGAGUGCGAAGAGGGCUUCUCGGGCCCUCAAUGCACCGAGGAAAUCGGCAAGCCCUGGAGGUUCCAGUCCGACGGUCUCCUCAGCUUCAAUCCGCUGCUCAGACCCAUACAGCUACCUUGGUUGACCGCGCUGAGUCUGAGAACACGAGAAAGUCAGGCGUUCGUAAUUAGCAUACAAAUUGGUCAGAAUAGUUCGGUGAUGCUGAGCAUAAAGGACGGUAGAAUCGAUGCAUCGUUGGACGGCAUAAGCAUCAUUCAAGCAUCUACCAAUAUCGCGGACGGCGAGUGGCACCGCGUUGAGAUCGCUUGGCAAAGUGGUCAAGUCUCGAUCGACAUGGACUACAGAAACAGACCGAUCAACUCGUUACUACCAGCGAAGCUGCAGGGCCUCUACAUCGGGCGAAUACUCGUCGGAGGUCCGGACCAGACAACCAAUACCGAGCUACCGUUUUUCAACGGGUGCAUUCAGGACAUCAGGAUAGGAUCCAAUCAAAGCAUGCUCCAACGACCCACGGUUCAGGAGAACGUCGGAUCUGGGUGCAUUGCGGAGGGUGAGUGCAGCAUCGACUGUCCCGAAACAUCGACCUGCGUAGCUCAGUGGGAGUCCAACGAGUGCGUCUGUAUUCUCGGCCACGCCGGUCCCAACUGCACUCCUGUCUGCGAACUGAACCCCUGCAGCGAGGGGGGCUUCUGCCUCGAAAACGUCGAGGAACGGAAGGGGUACAAAUGCAAUUGCGAGUCGGAGGAGUACUCUGGUGAGUAUUGCGAAGUCAGGACGGAUCAACCGUGUCCAGCCACCUGGUGGGGUAGUCCGGUGUGCGGUCCGUGUCACUGCGACGAGACAAGGGGCUACAAUCCGGCCUGCAAUAAGACGACGGGCGAAUGCUACUGCAAGGAGAACCAUUAUCAACCACCUGGUGAGACGGAGUGCACACCGUGCGAGUGCUACGCCGUUGGGAGCUUCGGUCCCAGGUGUGACACGGAAACGGGACAGUGUAGGUGUCGCACAGGAGUGAUCGGCAGGACCUGCACCGCUUGUCCGAAUCCUUACGCGGAGGUGACGCGUCGCGGGUGCGAAGUCAUCUACGACGGAUGCCCCAGGUCCUAUUCCGAGGGUCUGUGGUGGCCUAGAACUAAAUUCGGCGUUACUGCGGUAGAGGAUUGUCCCGGAACCGCGGAAGGAAGGUCGUCCAGGUCCUGCGACGACACUCUUGGCGGCUGGCAGCCACCGGACUUGUUCAAUUGCACCUCGGAAGCCUUUGUGGAGCUCAGACAUCAGUUGGCGGCUAUUGAGACUGACGGACUCUCGCUCAAUACUUACGUUGCUAUUAAAAUGGCAGCCGAUUUGCACAGGGCGACUAAUAUCACCAAAGCCAUGUUCGGCGCGGAUAUUUUAGUCGCCGAAUCGCUGCUUGUCGCGUUGCUUAAUUACGAAGAAAAUCUUUCCGGAUUGAACCUGACGCACAGCCAGGACAAGGACUAUAUAUCACAUCUUGUCGGGAUUUCCGGGGCUAUUCUUGAAGCUAAACACUUGGAAAAUUGGGGCAGAAUUGAGUCGCUAACUGGAGACAGUCCUGACAAGAUCUUGGAGGCUAUUAGCAAUUAUUUAAAGACUCUGACGGCCUCUCAGCACGACACUUUCACGAGUCCGUUUGAAGUGGUCGAUCCUAACGUCGUACUGGGUUUGGAUAUCGUAACUUCGGAAAGCCUGUUUGGCUAUGAAGCAGCAGAUUACAAAGAGGACCCCACCCAAUCAACGGCGCGACCAGGCGGAGCCGAUCAAAAAGUAGUUUUACCUGAUACCACCAGCUUUUUGAGCUCUUUGACACACUUAGGGCCUUCAGUCAGUUUCCCAAAAUACAACAAUUACAUGCAAGAUCCCAAAAAAUUCGAUCCGUAUUCUAAAAUUCAAGUGCCAUUAAAUUUGCUUGGGAUUAAACCACCUAAUCAUGGUGAAUUGAAUGUCAAGAACAGCCUGAGCACAGGAAAAGCUGUCAUAAGCUAUGUCCAAUAUCGAGAAAUGGGCGCACUAUUGCCUCAAAGAUUCGAUGAUUCGGUAGCAAUGAGAUGGGGCGUAGAAAUAGCAGUCGGAUCCCCAGUCGUAACAGUAUCAAUCCUGGUUCCGAGCGCAAAUGGGCAUGAGUCGUUAACUGGAAUUCCACUGCAGUCUCCCGUUCAAAUCCGGCUUUGGCUCAGCGAAGAUGAUGGCUUUAAAACGAGAACCAAUCCCCAAUGUGUUCACUGGAGUACAGCGAGAGGAAUCGGAGAAUGGAGUCGAAUGGGUUGCACAACCGAAAUUGACGACACCAUGCUGACGCCUGGUUCCAUAAUAAACUGUUCGUGCUUACACCUGGCAACGUUUGCACUCUUGACCGAUGUUCUAGAUCUUGAAUAUGUACCUGAACCGUCUCUGUUGGAGGACGUGACAAGUUACAGUGCGUUUGUUCUUGCGCUACCCCUUUUGCUGUCCACGUUGCUAAUUCUCGCUCUGAUACGUGGAGGUGGUACCAAUUCGAACAGUAUACACAAAAAUCUCGUCCUAUGUGUAUUCAUAGCUGAACUGCUAUACCUGAUUGCAUUGAAAGCUAGAAAUCCAUUGGUUACAAACGAAUUCCCCUGCAAGUUGACUGCUAUCAGUCUACAUUACGCCUGGCUCAGCACCUUUGCUUGGACUUUGGUCGACUCGGUACAUCUCUAUAGAAUGUUAACCGAAAUGCGCGACGUGAACCAUGGGCAAAUGAGAUUUUAUUACACAAUGGGGUAUGGACUACCGGCUGUUAUUGUCGGACUCACUGUCGGCGUACGAGCUGAUCAAUACGGAAACUUUUAUUUUUGCUGGCUAUCCAUCUACGAGCCUGUUAUUUGGGCUUUAAUAGGACCGGUCUGUGCCGCUGUUAUAAUAAACCUUUGCAUUCUUGUAAUGUCAGUUCGUGCUGCGUUCACAUUGAAAGAACAUAUCAUGGGUUUUGGAAAUCUCAGGACGCUGCUGUGGCUGUCAAUCGCAUCGCUACCAUUACUUGGGACCGUUUGGUCUCUGGCAGUACUCAGUGCUUCGGAGCAAUCGCCAACUUUGUCUUACUUACUGAGUAUCGCUAUCCUGACUCAUGCCGCUUUUAGUCUGAUCGGAUACUGUUUCAUCAAUGGAAGAGUUAGGCGGAACUUAUAUCUCAGUUUAUUGCAUUGCUUUGGAAAAAAAUCGCCCCUCCUAGAAGGAAGCAUUGGAAACGGAAGUAGCAGCCAAAAUGUGAAUGGACAUUCGCGAUCAGCACUGGCAUACUCGUCGGCCUAUAGCGGAGCAGAAUCAACGUGUCGGAGAGUUCACGUUGGCGUAUCAACAAGCAGUACCACGUCGCGAAGUACAAAUAAGACUGGUUCAAGUCCAUAUCGAAGUGAUACACAUCUUAGACACACAUCGACAUCGACAAGCAACUAUAACAGCGAUAGAGAUCCUUAUCUUUCGUCCAGAAGUCAUCAAUCUGCUCUGCAUGCCAGACAAGAUCCACCCGAGACUCGUAGACAUCGCAGAGACUCUGAAUCCGAUUCGGAUGGUUCGCAAGCUGAUGGGGGAGGUCCUAGUCUGGACUUGGCUAGUUCGCAUAGUAGUGACGAUGAAGAUGUCACGUCUAGAUCUCACAAGGAUAUGGGUGUUUCAACUCAGCAAUCGAUAGCGCAUAGUUAUUUACCCAACAUCCAUAACAACCCGACCUCAGAUCAUUUGAAUAUUCUCUGUUCAAAUUCUGAACUUUUCCCAAACAUCAAACCAAUCUAUGCACCCAGAUGGAGCUCGCAACUGCCGGAAGCUUAUUUGCCGUCUAAUGUCGAUGCACGUGGGAGUCAAUGGUCAGGAGGCACGAUAUCGGACAAUGAAAUGGCCUCGAACAAAACUUCGAGUCCCAAUCCGUUGCCGUAUCCAGAUAUGAAUUCACCGCAGAAGAACCAUCCAGAUGAAAAUUACUCUGAGGGGGAAGAAAAACUUCACCAUAUUGGUGAAAAAUAUCUUUUUCCGUACACGGCGGAAGAAGACCAUACCAUCUCACCAACGCCUUACAUGUUGCCCAUGUCGUCGAGGAUUCUCGCAUCAAGCCUCAGUCAUCAUUCGCAGAAUUCAAAUCACGACAACUUGAGUGGAUCGGAGAGGUAUGGUAGCUUGAAGAGAGGACAAAGCUUGCACGGCUCGCAGCACGACAAUUUAAGUAGCUCAGAGCGGUACGGCAGUCUGAAAAGAGGAAAGAUUACUCCUAGUGUUCUGGAAACACCCGAAUAUAUUUUACCGAUGAGUGGAAGAAUUUUGUCUAGCUCAUUGACACACGACUUACAGCAUAGCAACGAAUUAGCCGCGCUAAGACAACAACAACAAUAUGAACAAACUAUUACAGAGACCGAGUGGCGUUGGAACAUUCUAAAAUAAUGAUAUACCUACUUUCUCUCCCUGCUUGCUGCGGGUGCUUUGGAAACCAGUGAGGAGGAAGGAUACUAACGAGGAGACGUCAGUCUGACAUUCCCUGAGAACACAACUACCGUACAAAAGAAUAAUUUUAGCCAUUUAUUUAAUAAAGCAGAUGGACUUUUGUGUAUAUUUUAUACAGCUGCCAUGACUGUAUUUAAGAAAUUUAGCCAUAUUAAUUAGCGUAUAUGUGUGAGUGCCUGUUAAUCAUAAUCUGUCAUAACUUAAAAAUAAUUUAGCUUUGAAUUGUCGAUUCUACGUAACUGGGUUUUGUCGGCAAUUGUCUUAAUAAUUGUUGCGUUUUAUAUUGUUGCAAUUAUUGCUGUCAUUAUAACGACAAUCGCCGGGACUGAAUAUCCGGUAAAAUGAUCUCUAGCUCAUUUUUCAUUCACGUAUUUAACACGAGACUAAUUUCUUACGUACCUUAAGUAUUUCUCUAUACACAUUACUGUGCAAUGUAUACAUUCCAGGUAGUUUUACAUUACUAUUUUUUUGAAAUCUUGUUUUGUUUUUCUACGCCAAUGUAAUUCUUAAGACGAGACAUAGUAUUAUAUGAUAAUACUCAAGUUUUGUAUAUAUUUAUAUCGAGAAACAUGAAGAAUAUACAUAAUUUAUA